rnacentral:snoRNA from 1 species
AAGAUCAUACUUCACAGGAUCAUUUCUGUAGUAUAUCUUCGCAAUCUCUCUACUCAAAAGUAGAGUUGUCGCAACCAUGAGGAUGAGACACAGUUUCAUCUCCUGAGCGUGAGAUAUGACUUUGACCGACUCUGUAUUGAGUUGGUCAAUGGUCGCCGAUGAUCGUUCAACCUGUCGCUUGCGGUGGGGUAUGGGGAUGAGACAGUCUGAGUGGU